rnacentral:lncRNA from 1 species
GUCCUCGCUGCGGAAAGUUGGGGCAACCUGUUGCCAGUCUGGUCGUUGGUGACAGCGAGGCUUCCGCGCUCGCUGCUGGUGAGCAGCCCCGGCGUGCCCCGCGGACUGGAAGAGGCGGCGGCGUGAUGCGGCCCGUGGACGCGGACGAGGCGCGGGAGCCCCGCGAGGACCCGGGCAGCCCGCUGAGCCCCGCGCCCCGCGCCGGCCGCGAGAACCUGGCCUCCCUGGAGCGCGAGCGCGCCCGGGCGCACUGGCGGGCCCGCAGGAAGCUGCUGGAGAUCCAGAGCCUGCUCGACGCCAUCAAGAGCGAGGUGGAGGCAGAGGAGCGGGGCGCCCGGGCCCCAGCACCCCGCCCGCGUGCGGAGGCUGAGGAGCGGGUGGUCAGGCUGUGCGCCGAGGCAGAGAGGAAGGCCGCGGAGGCGGCGCGGAUGGGCAGGCGGAUCGUGGAGCUGCACCAGCGGAUCGCCGGCUGCGAGUGCUGCUGAGCCGGCGGGACCGCGCGGGUCUGGAGCGGAGCGCGGCGGGGAGUGUCCCGCGUGGAAGGCGCUGGGUGGCCAACUGACGAACUGUGUUCACCUGAUAAGGAGUCCUGGCUGCUUGGACAGGCUCAAACCAAGAGAGCCUUUCGUUUUGUCUCCCCUGUUUUUCUGCCUGCGUUUUCUCCACAUUAGCCACUCAAUUUCCAGUACCAUCCUGGCGGAUGACUUCAGCAUUAGAUGGUCAGGUGUAUUUUUUUAUUAAUAGGCGCAUUCAGUUUGGAAAAGACAGCUUUUCAUUAAUGUCCCACGUAAAGGAAUAUGGCCUAUACAGUACGUACGCUGCUGCGUGGUCAUAUUUGUUCCUGUGAUCUUAUUGUAUUUUCAAAGUUUGGAAGUAUACUCGUGUGCUUUGCUAUUUUUUUAUGCUUCCUGGAAUUUGGGGACCCAUGAGAGACUUGAGGUUAGAGUUCUGCAAGUGAGAAGACACUACAUGGUUGCAGCUGCCACAUGAAGAACCCAAGCUCCUGUCAAAGUUGUGAAUGCGACUUUGGAUGAGAUUAAGAAGGCCCAGUGGACGGUUGGUCUUGAAGAGUGGCAGUGUGUGGAUUUGAGGACCUCUGCAGACCAUCAGAUCAAAGGAGGGAGAGCUGUUUUGGGUGUUUUGUUUUUUUUGUUUUUAUAGCAUUUUGCUUUUUCCUGGAAUGUAAUUUUCCUGUGGCAUGUUAACUGGUGCACAUCGUGUGUAACCUGUCUGGUGAGCAACCUACAAUUGGGAUGAGUUCUAGGUACAUGUGUUUGCUGACUUUGGGGUAAACAACUUUGUUAUAAUACAGUCUCUGCCACAGAUGCAUGUGACCCCUUCAGGGGCCCAGAGUGGCUGAGGAAGGAAAGCUUCAAGCUGGCCAUGGGGGUCCCAAACAGUCAUUCCAGGCUUAGAUGAUGACUAGCCUAGGUCAUCAGAGCCCAGACUCCACAGAGACUAAAAUCAGAGCUCUGUCUUGUUAUGAUAAAUUUCAUUUGCUUGGAAAAACAAAUGCUGAAAGCCAGUUUUUAGAAUCUUUGUGCAGAUGACCAAAGCAAUUGACUUGGCCAAGAAAAGGUAAGGUAAAUAAACAUUUUUCAAAAUGA